rnacentral:rRNA from 1 species
CGUAAGAAGACAACAGGGAUUGCCCCAGUAACGGCGAGUGAAGCGGCAACAGCUCAAAUUUGAAAUCUGGUCCCCAGGGCCCGAGUUGUAAUUUGCAGAGGAUGCUUUUGGUGAGGUGCCUUCCGAGUUCCCUGGAACGGGACGCCAUAGAGGGUGAGAGCCCCGUCUGGUUGGAUACCGAGCCUCUGUAAAGCUCCUUCGACGAGUCGAGUAGUUUGGGAAUGCUGCUCUAAAUGGGAGGUAUAUGUCUUCUAAAGCUAAAUAUUGGCCAGAGACCGAUAGCGCACAAGUAGAGUGAUCGAAAGAUGAAAAGCACUUUGAAAAGAGGGUUAAAUAGUACGUGAAAUUGUUGAAAGGGAAGCACUUAUGACCAGACUUGGCCCCGGUGAAUCAUCCAGCGGUUCCCGCUGGUGCACUUUGCCGGGGUUCAGGCCAGCAUCAGUUCGCUCCGGGGGAUAAAGGCUUUGGGAAUGUGGCUCCCUCGGGAGUGUUAUAGCCCAUUGCGUAAUACCCUGUGGCGGGCUGAGGUUCGCGCUUUAUGCAAGGAUGCUGGCAUAAUGGUCAUCAGUGACCCGUCUUGAAACACGGACCAUCCUUUAAUAUGCA